rnacentral:tRNA from 1 species
GUCCCCUUCGUCUAGAGGUUAGGACACCGCCCUUUCACGGCGGUAACAGGGGUUCGAACCUAGGGGACGCCA